AGGCCCUGCUUCUAAUUCCAGUGCUUCUUGGUCCUGCUUUCUUCCUUGGGAAUCCAGGCCACUAGGAUGUACCCCCACUUCCUUGGGGGUGCAUGGGAGUGGAACCAGGUGGGAGCAGGGGGAGAACCACUGGAUGCCUGCUACCUGAAGGCCCUGGAGGGCUUCGUCAUGGUGCUCACCGCCGAGGGAGACAUGGCUUACCUGUCGGAGAAUGUCAGCAAACACCUGGGCCUCAGUCAGCUGGAGCUCAUCGGACACAGCAUCUUUGAUUUCAUCCACCCCUGUGACCAAGAGGAGCUUCAGGACGCCCUGACCCCCCAGCAGACCCUGUCCAGGAGGAAGGUGGAGGCCCCCACGGAGCGGUGCUUCUCCUUGCGCAUGAAGAGUACGCUCACCAGCCGCGGGCGCACCCUCAACCUCAAGGCGGCCACCUGGAAGGUGCUGAACUGCUCUGGACAUAUGAGGGCCUACAAGCCCCCUGCACAGACUUCUCCAGCUGGGAGCCCUGACUCAGAGCCCCCACUGCAGUGCCUGGUGCUCAUCUGUGAAGCCAUCCCCCACCCAGGCAGCCUGGAGCCCCCGCUGGGCCGAGGGGCCUUCCUCAGCCGCCACAGCCUGGACAUGAAGUUCACCUACUGUGACGACAGGAUUGCAGAAGUGGCUGGCUAUAGUCCCGAUGACCUGAUCGGCUGUUCCGCCUACGAGUACAUCCACGCGCUGGACUCCGAUGCGGUCAGCAAGAGCAUCCACACCUUGCUGAGCAAGGG
rnacentral:sRNA from 1 species